CACAAGUAGCCUCUUUCUCAAAUUUCUCUUCAAAUUUCCUCCAACCUCCAAAAUUUAUUUCCAAUAUGCUCUUCGUGCACAAAUUUCAACUUCCGUCUCUUGCCAGAAUCUUGGAUUUGGGGCUAAUUUGAUUAUCUUGAUAAGUUAAGGUUCGAGAUCGGUUUUGAGAAGAUUUUUUAAGUUUGGUACUACCAUGCUAAGUUUGGGAUCGAGUUUGGAUCAAGUGACAGUUUGGGAUUUACUUCAAGAUUUUCAAGAGCCUAAACGGAGUUUAGUUGCUUGAAUAAAAUAUUUGGAUUUAAUUUUGAGGUAAGUAGUUUUACUACUGCAAUGUCCUCAUAUCAAGCAAUUAAUUGAUAAUGUUUGUUAUGUAUGAUGAUUGAAGCAUCAUUUUCUUUAUAUGAUUGAUGAUUGACCCAGAAAUGCAUGUCGUUAUCACACAUCCAAGGACCAAAUAAAUUUAUAACUCCAAUCUAACAACCCACUUAAGACGUAGUAUAGAGCGCAAGAAAAGGAUCGUCCAAAGAGAACCAUCGACUAGCCUUAAAACAAUUAUUUAACUCCAUUGUGAUAGGGGGUUUUGUUGUAAAAAUUGAUAAAAUUGUGCAAGAAUGUAAGGUCUGGAAUGUAAAUGCAUAAAUGUAAAGAUAGAAACUCAAUUUUUAAAAUGUUCUAGCCUAGUUAGGUUUCCUCCUCAUUUUUCUUGGUACACAUAGGCAUUUAACAUAAUCAAGAUUCUUGCUAAUUAUUCAUUUAACCUAUGCAACUUAAAAGCCUAUAAUUUCAUAACCUCAAUUUCAUGAUUAAACAGUUCAUUGAAUCCUAAGUGACACAACUAAUUGGGUUCGAUAGCAUCCAUAUUAAUUGUGCAUUUGCAUUAAGAGGGGCAAUCUUGACUAAGAUUGAAUUAGUAGUUCGGAAUGUCUAGGUUACUAAUUCAAUUAUUCUUGAAUUUAAUUAAUCAUGCAUAAUUGUAAACAAGAUUAAUCCCAAUAACCUAAAUUCACAAAUUUGCAAUUUUUAGUUUUGU